GGAGGUCACAGUCAGGAAGAAGUGAAAACACGCUGGAGAGGAAUCACCGGCCGGUGCUCUGGUCCAGGCAGCCAUGGCCCGGUUCCUGAAGUUCUCCUCCGGGACUCUGGUCGUCUCCUCCGGGUUCUACGUCCUGACCCGGUUGGACCAGCUGGACCUCAACGACCUCAGCCUGGUCCGGUUUGGACGGGCCGCCGCCGCCACCAGCAUCAUCAGCUACGACUACCUGACGUCUCUCAGGAACGUGGACUACGGGACGGACGAGUACUGGGACCUGAAGUCUAAGGU